rnacentral:rRNA from 1 species
ACGAGUUUGAGUCCUGGCUCGAGAGCGAACGUUUGCGGCGGGCUUAACACAUGCAAGUCGAACGGGCUGUCCUUCGGGGGCAGUCAGUGCGCACGGGUGCGUAACACGUAGGUAAUCAACCCUCGUGGUUGGGGAUAACACUUCGAAAGGAGUGCUAAUACCCGGUAUGGCGCAGCGGUCUUCGGAUCGCGGCGAGAAAGACCCGCAAGGGUUGCCAGAGGACGAGCCUGCGGCCCAUCAGCUAGUUGGUGGGUAACGGCCUACCAAGGCGAAGACGCGUAGCUGGUCUGANAGGAUGAUCAGCCACACUGGCACUGAAACACGGGCCAGACUCCUACGGGAGGCAGCAGUGGGGAAUAUUGGACAAUGGGCGCAAGCCUGAUCCAGCCACGCCGCGUGAGUGAUGAAGGCCUUCGGGUUGUAAAGCUCUGUGGGGAGGGGCGAAAACGGCCGGUAAGAAACGACCGGUCCUUGACGGUACCUCCUUAGCAAGCACCGGCUAACUCUGUG